GACGAGGGGGUCCAAGCGUUGUUCGGAAUUACUGGGCGUAAAGCGCACGUAGGCGGCUUUGCAAGUUAGAGGUGAAAGCCCGGGGCUCAACUCCGGAAUUGCCUUUAAAACUGCAUCGCUAGAAUUGUGGAGAGGUAAGUGGAAUUCCGAGUGUAGAGGUGAAAUUCGUAGAUAUUCGGAAGAACACCAGUGGCGAAGGCGACUUACUGGACACAUAUUGACGCUGAGGUGCGAAAGCGUGGGGAGCAAACAGG
rnacentral:rRNA from 1 species